rnacentral:ribozyme from 1 species
AAGAAAGAAAGAAAGAGAGAGAAAGAGACUUUCUGUUUCCUCCUUUUUUUUGCUUCUUUGCUUUUUUUUUUUCUUUUCC